CUCCCGGCCAAGCGGCGCCUGUAACGUGGCGAGUGUGUGUGUGUGUGUGUGUGUUCCUAGGUCCCCUUCAGCGUGCUGAGCUCAGCGGCGGGGCAUGCCCGGCUGUCUACCCCAAGCCCCUGUACCCCCAUCCAUCUCCCUCCCUCCACCCCCCACCAGCACGUGGGCAAGCAGCCGGGAGAGCAGCUUGCGCUUGCCGCCCGCCUGCGGAUUCUGAGAUGUUCCGUCUCAUGGGCCACCCAGCUCUCUUCAACUUUCCCCUAGCCCACGCGCAGCCACCCGCACCGCUUCCUGUGCUUUAGCGCACUCCUCUUCCUCCCACCCUAGGCUUCACUUCUUUCAACCCCAUUCAGACAGCCCCCGUAACUUCCCCGAUUUUUCUUUUCCCACCGUUCAUCUUCCCUCCUCCGGCCGCCAUCCUGCCUCUCCCACUCGCCCCAUCGUGGCCGCACCCACUCCUUCUUUCCCACCUUGCUCCCGCAUUGCCUCAUCUUUUGUUCCUAGAUGGCGUGCGGGUCCCCUCUUCUCCACAGGGCGCAGUUUCCAGCAGAAACCCUUUAGAAGGUCUGAAUGGGGCGACAGCUUCGGCUUUUCUUCUGCCCUCGGGCCGCCUCUCCCCCCGACCCGCAGGCCCUCUGCCCACCCUCCCCGGGUGAGCCGGGCCCUUGGGUUUGGAGCAGCUCCCGGUGGAGCGUCGGGUUAUCCUCGCCUCCCGGCCACAGAGCGGCGCUUAGAGGCGUGGCGCUGGCGACGCCGACCUUCUCGCCUGAGCGCCGCGGUGGGCAGGUGACCUCUCCGAGGGCAACGGCGGGGCCUGCUGUGCCCACGGAUGGCCACGUGCUGCUGCCCUGCCCUCUGCGUCUCGAGGGUGAGGGGCCUAGAGGCAGGGAGUGGGGUUUUCUUGGAAAACCGCCGAGCCCUCCUAUGGCUGCUGCUUUCCAACUGCACCCAAGAUGGGGGAGGGGGCCCUGCAGAAGGCCCCCCACUGCUUAAAGCCUUUCAAAGCAAUAGGAGUCUCUGUAGGAAGAUUCCAGUUCUCUUCUCUCAAAAUAGUACUUGAUUCUCUGUUAUUGUCCUUUUCUAAGCCAAUGACAACGAUUGUAUUCUGCUUGACACAUUGGGUAGAUUAGCAAACAAAAGUGGACCUUUGUCACAGGCCACUAGGAAGUGGGAUGGAGUACUAUAGCAUGGAUCUUCUCUGAAAAGGGGCUUCCAGCCCUAAGACAACUUCCGGGACCGUGAGGCUGCUUUAGAAGCUGCCGAUCCCACAAAUGUUAACAUGACAGCUUUCUGGUGCAGAAGUUACUGCAAAGACCCUCUACUGAAACCUAGUCCCUGUGGCACUUCAGAAGCCCUCCUUCGUUAGCCUUUAUCCAAGACAAUGACAGGUGAAGGCUGGUUCUGUGGUGAAUUUUGAGUGUAUUUAUGAUACUGUGAGUCAAAGUAGAAUGCAGUCUUUUUCUUUUUUUUUUGCACUAUAAAUCUAGAUCAAGAUAACUCUGGAAAAAGCCAAUUACUGCACUCAUAGCCAAGAAAUGUCUGUGUGUGUUCACUUGUGUGAAGACCAAAUAAAGAAUGCUGUUCUCUGCCCUUUGAAA